rnacentral:lncRNA from 1 species
AAGCAAGCAAGGAACUGCAGGAAGAAAAGAGCCGGCAGAGCAUCAAGAAGAAUCGAAGGGAGGGGAGGGAAGACCAAAUCUAUGGUUGGACCAGGGCUUCUUUUUCGCCAAUGUAAAAAGGAAUAUGCCGUACAUCUUUGCCUUUUUCUGCACCGGUUUUCUAGGUGCGGUUGUGGGUGCCAAUUUCCCCAACAAUAUCCAGAUAGGGGGGUUAUUUCCAAACCAACAAUCACAGGAACAUGCGGCUUUUAGGUUUGCUUUGUCACAACUCACGGAGCCCCCCAAGUUGCUUCCCCAGAUCGAUAUUGUGAACAUCAGCGACAGCUUUGAGAUGACUUACCGUUCCACGAGACUGUAACCUUUCCAUCCGGGCCUAAUGGAGGACUAAUGAUUUCCAACCCUGCAGACCUUCCCAGCAGAGGACCUGUGAAGUGAAGCUGAAGGAGCCUUCUUCAUUCUCAAUAUGCACCUGACACCCCUUCCCAUCCCCCCACCCACGUCCCACACCCACAGUCUCCUGGGAUCCUAUGAUCUCUCUACUCCUUGUCGCCUGCGUUGGUGUCUGAGCUACUGCUAGGCUUUGUCUGUGAUACCAGGGGUGUGAAAGGUGAUCCACAGAAAUAAAUUGCAUUGUGUUUU